rnacentral:RNase_P_RNA from 1 species
AGAGUCGCCCGGAUCACCGCGUUGUACUUGUACACCGAGGAAAGUCCGGACUCCACAGAGCAAGGUGGUGGGUAACGCCCACCCGGAGAAAUCCGCGGGAUGAGUGCCACAGAAAAUAGACCGCACAUUAGAAAUAAUGUGUAAGGGUGAAACGGUGGUGUAAGAGACCACCAGCAUUUACGGCAACGUAUAUGGCUAGGUAAACCCCACUUGGAGCAAGACCAGACAGAUAGCGUUUGAGAACUGCUCGUUCGAGCUAUCGGGUAGGUCGCUUGAUUACGU